CCAAAGAAGAAGAAUAGGAGGAAGAACAACAAGAUGGCGCAAAUAAGAAGUUGUUGAGCUGUUGAGAGUUUUGUCUAAACGAGUUUCUCAAUGAUCAGUUAAUCCUGCUGAAGAAACAUCGACAGACUUUUAAGAAAUCAUCGUCAAAUCCGAGGAAGAGAUGGAUGAUCAUCGCAGACUGCUGGAUUUCUCCCGGAGGCCCCAGAUAAUCUUACACCGAAUAGAUUGCCUGCAACAUAACGUUUCUGAGGAGCAGAUAUGUAACCAGGAAAGGAGCUUCACUGUGGACAAGGACGAGUUAGAACCUCUGCAGGUGAAACAAGAUCAGGAAUGGCCUGAAAAUCUGCAGAUUAAAGAAGAGCAUGAGGUUCUAGAACAUCAGCAGAUAAAAGAAGAGCAGGAGGUACUAGAACAUCAGCAAAAAAAAGUGGAUGAGAAAGAAGGUUACUACAGUCAGCAGCUUGAGCUAAAACAAGAGACUGAUACCUGCAUGGUGGUUCCUGUUGAUGAGCAAACAAACCACAUUGAAUCAGAACCAAACAAGAAACAAGACAUCUUCCAGGAAGCAGCUGAAGCCAAGAACCAAAAUCAG